GAGAGUUUGAUCCUGGCUCAGGACGAACGCUGGCGGCGUGCCUAACACAUGCAAGUCGAGCGGAGGGGAUAGGAGCUUGCUCCUUGAACCUUAGCGGCGGACGGGUGAGUAACACGUGGGUAACCUGCCCUUGAGAGGGGGGAUAACAGGUCGAAAGGGCCUGCUAAUACCGCAUAACGCUAAGAUGCCGCAUGGCGUCUUAGCCAAAGGUUAAUU
rnacentral:rRNA from 1 species